CAUUUGGAGCCCCUCCACCUUAUCCAUCGCUAAUAAUGAUGAGAUCUUCUUUCUUCAAUCUUUAAUUUUAGCUCCUUUUGUUGUGGGUGAUGAAUUAUCUUCACAUUUUUUUGUGGUCUUUCUUCUUGCUCAGUUUGCAGAAAUGUGUGUUUCGGUGGAUGUCCUUGAGUUUUAAAGUAACUCAUAGGAGAAUUAGAACAUUGUAUCUCUGCUUUGUAGAUCUGUCUGAAGCAGAAGAGGAGAAAAACAAGUUGCUCCCAGCGUCCAUCUUUCAGAUCUCCUAGCUAUGAACAAGUGUUGUAUUACUAAAUCUGUUCCCCUGCUCUCGAUUUUUGUUGGUGAUCCUUUUUGUUGGCUGAUGUAGCUCAGUCUAGUUAGCAAUCUCAUAGUUAUUUUGCCCUUGAGGCGACCACAAACUAUAUUGUACAAGUAAUCACUAUGAGACUCUGUGGUUUUUCUUAAUCCCCUCCCUAUGCUUAGUUAUGCGUGCUACUUAUCUUCCUUAUUUUUACCCUUAUUGAUGGAAUUUGAUGUUUGUCUA